CAGUCUGCCAGCAGCACAACACAUCAAAGAACACACAGAUAAGUGAGCGACCAUCAGAUACACACACACACACACACACACACACACACACACACACACACACACACACACACACACACACUAAUGGGGUCGGACAAACCACUCCUCAAAACUCCUAAAGGAAAAGAGGAGGAGAAACAGGGACGAGGAGAGACGGCUGUGAACGCUCACGUCUGAAGGUAGUUAGGAGUUAGUCAGCUUUACUAGGAACACACAACUGAAGGACGACUUCAUCUUCAUCUGAGGACGGAAGAGAGGAGAAAACAGGAAUGGAGAAACUGAGGACUGGUUCAGAUGUGAAGUGCUGAUGUCACGCACAAGAAGAUCAAGUGUCUGCAUAUGAAAACCACAUGAGAGGAUCAGACUCUUCAAAGAUCGCAGUAAAUCUGAAGCCGUCACUCACGAACCCUGGCAGAACCUCAAACGGGCCGGAAAACGUCACAGCGCUCAUUAAAGGCCGGGACAGACUGAGCCGAAUCCAUGAGGAACAUCAGCAGAAUCACUGUCACCUACACUGAUCAUCAUAAACAUACACUGUGUGUCUUUGUGAAGGUCUUUUGCAGGAAUGAACGUAGAAGACAGACGCUGAACGGACGGCAGCUGGUAAGAUCUGCGCGUCAAUAAAUCACCAAACACAUAAACAGACGAGGACGAUGAACAUACCGCGGUUAAAAACAUACCUAACCUAACAUACUGGUAAACAUGCCAUGAAAAGAAUGUCACAAAAGUUAUAGUAUAUGUUAUAUUUUAAUUUAAAUAAUUAUAUACAUAUAGAUCAGCUGUGUUGUUCAGGAGUGUGUUGAAGUCAAACACUCGUGGCUUUAGCGUGUCAUGAACUCAUUUCUCCAUCAGCAGUUCUCCGUUUACUCUUUCAGACAUGAAGUGCUGUGUUUGUUCAUCCAUAUUUGGCCCUGCAGUGAAUCUGUGUAUCUUGAGCUCAUCACAUAUUUAAAGUCCAGACUGGAAUAGUUUAUGGUUCAAGGAUACUAUGAAAUGAGCCCCGUGUGAGAUCUUCCUUACAGUCCAUUAUAUGUAACUAGGCAUGUGACGGUAUAAAAUUUUCAUGUUGCGAUUAAUUGCUGAAGCUUUUAUCACGGUAUACGGUAUUAUCACGAUAUUUAAAUAAAGUGCAA